GAGACUUCGUUCGGAGAAUCUUGCCUAUCCAUCUAUGGGAGAACCAAGAAUUAAAGAGGACAGCUUUGACUAGCUCCUGCUAGAAUGGAAGAUGGUUCAUCUUAACUUGUUGAAAAAGCCAUUAGUAUCAACGUACAACUUAAAGUUCACAAGUAGCUCAAAUCGGGUCAUCAUUAUAAGAAGAAAGAGCCACAGAACUCACUAGUAUAUUGGCUUUCUAUCUUUGGAUCAUUGGCUAGAAUCCAAAAUGUAUGUCUAUUAUCCCC
rnacentral:lncRNA from 1 species